CAUGACUCCCUCACCACAAACGUAACAACAACAUGGAUUAAAAGGGAAAAGGGUUAUUCCUGCAUUGCCCAUCUAGGACAGCAGAGGGGGUAUCCUGAAAUUGGAGAGAUGUUUACAGAACAGCCAUGGUCUGAUGCUGGUAGUAGACCUUGUUGGUGUGAUCUCCAGGAACAGUAUUAUUCCAUAGAGCCAUUCCUAUCGUACUGUACGUGACAAACAUCACCAUGAGAGGCAGCAGAUGCUUCCUGUGUGAGAGAGGAGGGCAGACUACAUGGUAAUGUUACCUAAACAAUUUUCCUGCGCUUUUCUAACAGCAAUUCAUGAUCUUGCCUUUCACUAUGGACCUGAUCUGUUUACUGAGCCAUGGAAAUUUUAUGAGUCACUUUCCUUUUCCUGCAAGCACUCCGCAGCACUUGUGCCUUCCAAGUUUAAAUGACAUGUUGUUCUGCUUCUUAUCUCACACCUGUUCUGAACAGUCAUAUCAGACUGCUGAUGGAUAAAUUUGUAGAAGGGCAAGGUUCUGUUUUAGAAAUUUGCUCUGGGAUAGGAGCACAUCCAUCCUGCACAUAGAACACAUAGACAAUUACAUUUUUGACAAUAAUUAGGGUCAAUUUGUUGGUGGUGUUUACUUUUGCUAGUAUUACUGGAUACUGCUAAGGACGGUUAUGGAUAGUAUUUAUGAUUAGUAUUUAUACUAAUGUAUAACCAAGCAAAUAGUUCUGCUGAGCAGAGAAUAACUUUAGUGCAUUUUUGGUAAAGAUACAAUAAUUACCUUCUGCUUCCACACUCUGUAGUUGAAGGAAUUAAUACAAUUUGUAUAAUAAUACUUGUGCUUGUCUGUCCUGGUAUCUUCUGGUCAAUUUACUGCACACAACACCUAGCUGACAGGAG